AACGUAGGGUGCAAGCGUUGUCCGGAAUUACUGGGUGUAAAGGGAGCGCAGGCGGGUUGACAAGUUGGGAGUGAAAACUACGGGCUCAACCCGUAACCUGCUUUCAAAACUGUCAGUCUUGAGUGGUGUAGAGGUAGGCGGAAUUCCCGGUGUAGCGGUGGAAUGCGUAGAUAUCGGGAGGAACACCAGUGGCGAAGGCGGCCUACUGGGCACUAACUGACGCUGAGGCUCGAAAGCAUGGGUAGCAAACAGG
rnacentral:rRNA from 1 species